AUGGAGCUGGGAACACUUGCGGUUCUUUGUCUUGUCACCGGCGCGACGGAAAUGCGGAUGACGGAUGUGGUGCAGCGUCAAGUGAGGAGCCUGUCCUUUCCGGAAAACAGCGAUAUGGGGUUGUUCUUUGCACUUGCCGUUCCUCUGGACGACCCGAGCUCGACAAUGUCGGUGGCGUUGUUCUUCGAGGCGGAAUACGACCUGCCAACGAAUUUGACGGAAAUCGAAUUCGCAGGUGACGAAGGCGGAUUCAGGAGGAACGCCGGUCGGCAGCGACGAAGAACCAUAGACCGUACCAUAAUCUACGCCAUGCUGGAGUCGAAAUUCGAAUCGCUGGGCUAUCCGGGACGUCAGUGCCUCCUUAGGUCCAUAUGUGAGACAAAGCGGCGAGCCGUGCAUGUUGACAACGGCCUCCUCGGCGAUCUCCUGCGAAUCAUACUCGCACCCAGUUCGUCCACGUUCGAAGAAGACUUUCGUCAGGAAUAUAUCGACGCGGAGAAUGUUAAAGAGACAGAGGAAUGCCUACGAAUAUACUCCUCCUGCGAGCUCAACAUUUACGACUUCAUAACUUUUCAGGAACCAUGAACUGUUUUUUUCCUCACCUCUUCGGGAAGUGCAUCGCGCGUGUAGAAUUUUCUACGGGUGCAUCCGUGUAGAAGUGCAACUCUAUUUUCACGCGACUUGAAUAUUUUCGCCGUAUCGGUAGAUGGUACACUGCAGAGACUGUUUCUGUACUGAUUUGUAAAGAAAUAGGAAAAAGAAAGAAAGAAAUAAAAAGA